UACGUAGGGGGCUAGCGUUGUCCGGAUUUAUUGGGCGUAAAGAGCGUGUAGGCGGCCAGGUAGGUCUGCUGUGAAAACUCGAGGCUCAACCUCGAGACGUCGGCGGAAACCAUCUGGCUAGAGUCCGGAAGAGGAAAGUGGAAUUCCUGGUGUAGCGGUGAAAUGCGCAGAUAUCAGGAAGAACACCCGUGGCGAAGGCGGCUCUCUGGGACGGUACUGACGCUGAGACGCGAAAGCGUGGGGAGCGAACAGG
rnacentral:rRNA from 1 species